AUUGAACGCUGGCGGCAGGCCUAACACAUGCAAGUCGAACGGUAACAGGAUGUGCUUGCACAUCGCUGACGAGUGGCGGACGGGUGAGUAAUGCUUGGGAACUUGCCUUUGCGAGGGGGAUAACAGUUGGAAACGACUGCUAAUACCGCAUAAUGUCUUCGGACCAAACGGGGCUUCGGCUCCGGCGCAAAGAGAGGCCCAAGUGAGAUUAGCUAGUUGGUAAGGUAACGGCUUACCAAGGCGACGAUCUCUAGCUGUUCUGAG
rnacentral:rRNA from 1 species